rnacentral:rRNA from 1 species
UCUUACACAUGCAGUCGAACGAUGAUGCCCAGCUUGCUGGGUGGAUUAGUGGCGAACGGGUGAGUAACACGUGAGUAACCUGCCCCUGACUCUGGGAUAAGCGUUGGAAACGACGUCUAAUACUGGAUAUGAUCGCCGGCCGCAUGGUCUGGUGGUGGAAAGAUUUUUUGGUUGGGGAUGGACUCGCGGCCUAUCAGCUUGUUGGUGAGGUAAUGGCUCACCAAGGCGACGACGGGUAGCCGGCCUGAGAGGGUGACCGGCCACACUGGGACUGAGACACGGCCCAGACUCCUACGGGAGGCAGCAGUGGGGAAUAUUGCACAAUGGGCGAAAGCCUGAUGCAGCAACGCCGCGUGAGGGAUGACGGCCUUCGGGUUGUAAACCUCUUUUAGUAGGGAAGAAGGGAGCUUGUUCUUUUCGGUAUGAGGGUAAUGGCAACAAAGUACCUGCCUGCCUACGGCCGAGCAACUACGUWAGUACGUAGGGGGCAAGCGUARUUAUGGAAUUUUGGGGCGUCAAGAGCUCGUAGGCGGUUCUUCGCUUCUGCUGUGAAACCCCGAGGCUCAACUUCGGGCUGGCAGGGGGUACGGGCAGACUAGAGGGCGGWAGGGGAGAUUGGAAUUCCUGGUGUAGCGGUGGAAUGCCCAGAUAUCAGGAGGAACACCGAGGGCGAAGGCAGAUCUCUGGGCCGUAACUGACGCUGAGGAGCGAAAGCAUGGGGAGCGAACAGGAUUAGAUACCCUGGUAGUCCAUGCCGUAAACGUUGGGCGCUAGAUGUAGGGACCUUUCCACGGUUUCUGUGUCGUAGCUAACGCAUUAAGCGCCCCGCCUGGGGAGUACGGCCGCAAGGCUAAAACUCAAAGGAAUUGACGGGGGCCCGCACAAGCGGCGGAGCAUGCGGAUUAAUUCGAUGCAACGCGAAGAACCUUACCAAGGCUUGACAUACACCGGAAACGGCCAGAGAUGGUCGCCCCCUUGUGGUCGGUGUACAGGUGGUGCAUGGUUGUCGUCAGCUCGUGUCGUGAGAUGUUGGGUUAAGUCCCGCAACGAGCGCAACCCUCGUUCUAUGUUGCCAGCGGGUUAUGCCGGGGACUCAUAGGAGACUGCCGGGGUCAACUCGGAGGAAGGUGGGGAUGACGUCAAAUCAUCAUGCCCCUUAUGUCUUGGGCUUCACGCAUGCUACAAUGGCCGGUACAAAGGGCUGCGAUACCGUAAGGUGGAGCGAAUCCCAAAAAGCCGGUCUCAGUUCGGAUUGAGGUCUGCAACUCGACCUCAUGAAGUCGGAGUCGCUAGUAAUCGCAGAUCAGCAACGCUGCGGUGAAUACGUUCCCGGGCCUUGUACACACCGCCCGUCAAGUCAUGAAAGUCGGUAACACCCGAAGCCGGUGGCCUAACCCUUGUGGAAGGAGCCGUCGAAGGUGG